rnacentral:rRNA from 1 species
UACGUAGGUCCCGAGCGUCGUCCGGAUUUAUUGGGCGUAAAGCGAGCGCAGGUAGUUUAUUAAGUCUGGUGUAAAAGGCAGUGGCUCAACCAUUGUAUGCAUUGGAAACUGGUAGACUUGAGUGCAGGAGAGGAGAGUGGAAUUCCAUGUGUAGCGGUGAAAUGCGUAGAUAUAUGGAGGAACACCGGUGGCGAAAGCGGCUCUCUAGCCUGUAACUGACACUGAGGCUCGAAAGCGUGGGGAGCAAACAGG